CAGAUAUGAAUUACAUUUUUUGAAAAACACUCCAGCUGCUCAAUGGAGAAUGGAUUCUGUGAAGGCUUGAAUAAGAGUGACAGUACUAGAGAUGGGCAUGGAAAGAGGAGGUGGGACUAACAGAGCAGUGAAUCACUCCACACAAAACAGCAAAACAGGAGGGAACUGAGUUAUUUGUUGGCAGCUCAAGAUACUGGAGAAGAUGACGGGCCAGGAAGUUGAAAGAAGGUGAGAGGUUGAGGAGAGAAGAGGGGAGCUGGGGAGAAGCUCUGGCCACGUGAAAACCGGUAGAGCCUCCAGAAGACUGCAGCCAAGGAGGAAUUCCUUGUGGCAAGGAAUGUCUGAUGUUGAAUGUUAGAUGGUUUUCUGCGCUGUGCUGGGAUGAUACAACUUGACUCAACUCUUCAGUUGAUUGUUCCCUACUAACAGCACCCUGG
rnacentral:lncRNA from 1 species